AUGGAUAGAUGGCAAUAUGGACAUUAUGCACGUCAUUUCAUUUUGUUCCUACGUCAAAAAUUCUUGUUGCUAUGGCAACAAAUAGACUAGAAAUACUGCUGAAAAUGGUGGUUUUCUGGAUCCUGCGAUUGCUUUAAAAGUUCUUAAUAUUUGUUUAUGAAACUUGGAACAUUGAUAGAUGGCAAUAUGGACAUAAUGCACGUCAUUUCAUUUUGUUCCUAUGUCAAAAAUUGUGGUUGCUAUGGCAACCAAAAAAAAAUAUCUGAAAAUGGUGGAAUUUCUGACAAUGGUGGAGCCGGUAGGGGACCAUGUUGCUUGACAAAAGCCUUGUUACCUUAUGCUAUUAACGUAAUUGAAUAGCUCAGACAUAUCUACAAAAGAUUCAGGGUGUGUGAAACUCAAUAUGAGAUUAAUAUUCAAGGCUAUUCAAUUUAUUUGUUCUUAUGUGGUAGGAGUCAUAACUUGAAUGUAUGUCCAUCAUUAGCUAGCACCAUAUUCAACCAUUCUGGAAGUUUAUUACAUCAUUUUUCAUCUACAAAGAAGUCAUUUUAACACAUAUUAUAUUGUGAAUAUUAUUGUAUUGUUAUUUGUCAUUUCUUAAAUACGCAAUUAGAAGUUGUUCUAAACGUAACCCUUAGAUGAGAACAGCACAUUUGUUUUAUUGGGAUUAUUUUUUGUUUUAACUGCCAGCUAUUUAUCAAUUGAUUAAACAUAUAAUAAAUAUCAACAACAAUUUUUACAUUGUUGAAUUGUGCAUUUGAGAAUGGUUGUAUUAUGUGGCAAAUGUUCUUGGUUUUUACCCUUUCCCACUCAGAAGCAAAGUGAAAAGGUCUUUUGAACACAGCAUAAAAACCAGAACAGCCUAUGAGUAACCCGCAGGCUGUUCAGGCUUUAUGCUGUUUGCUGCUCAUCAGUAUCUAAGGUUUGAAGAUGAAGCUUUAACAACUGAAAUCUAGUAAGAAAGGUCUUAUAUUAAAUACAACUUUCUAAAGGACUACAAAUGCGGGAGAAUACGCAUCUAAGUGGUAAAGGGUUAAUGUAAUCCCACACAUUGGAUCAUUAUUAAGUUGUCCGUACUUGCCAUGAUGUGAGGAACAUUCUUAACAUUGACUUAUGUCACAUUCAAUUAGUUAUAAAUACCUGGUAGCAUUUUGAAAGUACUGAACAGUUUAUGUAAAAAAAAUAUGCAAAGAAAUAUAAGCUUGGUUUAAAAUCGCAGGAAAAUCUCUGUUGAAAACAAAAAAAUUGGUGUAUGCAGUUCUGUGACGAAAUGUUUCUUAGUAACAUAAUGGGGACAUUUUAAAAUCCAGCUUUAACUUCAUAUCUUUGUUAAUGGUAGCUUAGAUCUUAAAUAAAUGUAAAUCAAAGACUGGUAAGAUAAAUGUGUACACAGUUCUGUUUUGAAAUCAAUGCUGUACACGAUAAUUUAAUAUACAUGUAUAUAUAAAUACAGAAAACAUGUUUGAACAUUAAUACAGCUCAUAAGUUUUAAAUGACAUAGAAUCUACUGUGCUUGUUAUUCAUUUAACUCUUUCAGUGCGGGAACCGAAUUUUGAAGGCCUUUGCAAACAGUUUGGAUCCAGAUGAGACGCAACAGAACGUGGCGUCUCAUCUGGAUCCAAACUGUUUGCUAUUCUGAAAAAAAAAUCGAAGAAAUGCUAAUAGUAGAAAUUCAGCAGACGAAAUUUUAGCAGACCAUAUAUUUCCCAGCAUGCAAAGGGUUAAAUGUAUAGAAAUGCUUUUGGCAGUUUGUAAUUUGUUGUACAUAAUACAGGUUGUGUAUAUUCACAUUUUGUUUGUUAACUUAUGUAAAAAGAUUUACAGAAAUAUAGAAAAGCAAUGAGCAUAUGUUUUUGUUGAUGCAUUUAUCUUAAGGUAAAAAUGUGUGUGGUUUCUCUGAUGUUUUUAUGUUUUAGCAUGUAUAAAUAUGUCUCCCAUUACUUUAGUGCUAUAAUAACUCUUUCCUUAUAUUGCUUUCAUAUGAAAACUUUAAGUAAACAUUUCAGUUAUACCCAUUUAGAAUUUCUAACACAUUAUUAUAACAGCUGUGCAGCUUAACCCAUUUAUGCCUAGUGGGCUCUCCCAUCCUUCUAAAUUGGAUAAAUUUAUUUACAAAAUAAGGGAUGUCUAAUAUAUUUAUUUCUAUAUUUAGGAUAUUUCUUACAGAAAUUCCUUUAAGCAAACAGCGUAGACCCUGAUGAGACGCCGCAUCAUGCGGCGUCUCAUCUGGGUCUACGCUGUUUGCCAAGGCCUUUUUUCUAGAAGCUAGGCAUAAAUGGGUUAAUAUAACGUGUGGCGAUGAGGGAUAUUCUGUAUUUGUCAUUACUGUGACAAUCUCUGGUUUGUGGGGGUUGUGUACACAGUUGUAUCCCAAUUUAUAAGGAAUGCUUUAUUUGAUUUAAAACAUUUUUGUGCUUUAUAUAUAUAUAUGUAUCAGCAAAAUUAACUACUCCAACUGAACUGAUUAAGGCCAUGUCUUUUAAUGCAAAUAAACAGUGAUUAUUUGUUAAUAAUUUUUGUAUAUAUUUUGCUUUUAUACAAACACAUUGUCAGCGUGUAUGCAUUCAAAUUCUGUCCACAUGUGUUAUGAUUGUAUAAAGUGAACUGCAUUAGAGACUGGUUCUGGGAAAAUGGCGCCUAUUGCAUGUGCGUAAAGUGUGGUCCCAGCUUAGCCUGUACAGUCUGCACAUGCCCCAUUUUGCCUGAGCAAGCUUAUUUCUUGAUGCACUGGUUGUUCUUCAAAAAGUUUCCCCUCAUGAAUUUCUAUAUGACAGUUUAGUAUGUUGAAUGUAUUACCAGUUAAACAUGUUUAUAAAUAAUUGCGGGUAUAUGCUAGAACAAGUUGAUGUGUUGUUAAUUGUUUUGCUUUGUCAAAAUAUGUACAUGUACUGGCACUUGUUUACAAUAUUAUACUAAUUUCAGUAUUUGUUGAUUUUGAUUUGUGUACUUUUUUCGUGUAUUUGUAUUACUGUUUUGUCAUUAUUUCUCAAUAUUGUGCACAAGUUGUAUACAUUACAUAAUACGUCAUAAUCAGCAAUUGUAAAUGCUUGCUUUUAAUUAUUUCUUCUAUUUGUUUCUCUGCAUGAAUUUUUAUGCCCCCAGUAAGGUGGCAUAUAGCAUUUGAACUGUCUGUCCGUCCUUCAGUCCGUCCGAAAACUUUAACAUUGGCCAUUACUUUUGCAAUAUUGAAGAUAGCAACUUGAUAUUUAGCAUGCAUGUGUAUCUCAUGGAGCUGCACAUUUUGAGUGAUGAAAGGUCAAGGUUAAUGUCAUCCUUCAAGGUCAAAAGUAAAAAAUAAAAUCCAAGGGAAGUAAUAAGCUUUAAAAGGGAGAUAAUUUCCAAACCUGCCAAAUGAUAUAUUGAAAUUUUAUUUCAAACUGGCGCAAUAGGGGGCAUUGACAAACACAUCUCUUGUUUUAAUUUUCUUUAAAAAUUAUGUUUAUUUUUAUACCAUCUCUAUAAAAAGCUAUGUACAAGUUGUAACAGAUAGUAAGUUUUUUUUGCAUUUUUUAAAACUUAAAAUUCACAAUAAGCUGUUGAACUUUUAGCCUUUAUUUUUGAUGAGUAGAAUAAUUUCAACUUAAAUGUAUAACUUCAUUUUGAUGUGUUUAGCAUUUCAACCAGCAUCAUUGAAUCCUGUUUUCUUCAAAGUUUUGACCUUAUUUUUUUCUUUUAAUCUUCAAACUUUCAUUUAUUAUUGCUCUUUAAAACUAUAUCUGCAAAUGUAUUGGACGCUGGUUUAACCAUGAUUUUCUUUUCUUUGCCAUGUGUUUGCUUGUGUUAAUUUAAUGGGCAUUCUUUUUACACAAAACUUGUUUGAAACCAGAAUUAAACAAAGUGCCAUUGUGCUAUUAUUAUUUUAAGUUAAAGGAUAUCUUGUUUUAUUUGAAACAUGGUUGUGAGAUUUGCAUUGACUUAUUUGUUUCAGUUAUAGUGUUUUAAAUAUGUCAGAUUCAAUCACAGUUUACUAUACUUUAAAUAAGUUUUGUUGAUAAUGUAUUGAAUUUAAAUUAUCUUUGUUAAAUUUAAAGAUCUGUAAAAAAAAAAAGCAUUGGUUUGGAAAUAAAACGCAUACUUGUUUGAAGAUUUACACAUAUUUAUGCUCCCCAAAAAAUUUUGAGGGGAGCAUAUAGUCGCCCCAUCGUCUGUCCGUGUGUGUUUCCGUCUGUCCGUGCACAAUUUUUGUCCAGGCUAUUUCUCAGCAAUAAAUGACCGGAAUUCAAUGAAACUUUAUGGGAAGCUUCACUACCAAGAGGAGAUGUGCAUAUUAUCAGCCGGUUCUGGUCGGAUGAUUUUUCACAGAGUUAUGGCCCUUUGAAAUUUUCAAUUAACUGUACAUAUAGUGCAAUUCGUGUCCCGGCUAUUUCUCAGCAACUAAUGACCGGAAUUCAAUGAAACUUUAUGGGAAGCUUCACUACCAAGAGGAGAUGUGCAUAUUAUCAGCGGGUUCUGGUCGGAUGAUUUUUCACAGAGUAAUGGCCCUUUGAAAUUUUCUAUAAAAAAAUUAUUGUCCCCCCCCCCAACUACUGUGCCCUCAAGACGUUUCCUGUUAUCUGAAUAUAUAGUGCAGUAUUGUGACAAAAAAAACUUUGGGGAGCAUCACCCGUCUCGGACGGUUUCUUGUUUGUUUUGAGCCUUUGUUUUUUUGAAAUUGUACUAAAAAUAUUUUGUGAAACUUGUCUAAGCCGAACCCAUGAUUCUAGUUUCAGCAGUGUUUGAUUUGUCAAGGUUUGGACAGAAUGCAUUAUUCUCUCAGUAUAGACACUGUGUUUAACCUGUUUUAAUUGUUUAAAUAGUGGACAAGAACAGGUUUAAGUUAACACUUUUAAUACCGUUCAUAUUUUUUUGCAUUAUAAAAAUUAUAUUUAUUAGUAUUUUGUUUUCAUGUGGUUUGGUUUUGACAGGUUUAUUUGUAUAUGUCAACUUUUUAACUGAUUUCAGAAAGGCAAAUAAUAUAAUGCCCACUCACCAUUUAUGUGUUGAUAACUGCGUAGGUGUGUUAUGCUUGUGAACUACAGGGUUAUUUUGUGUUCAAUUUCUUACAUUUGACUUUAUUGUUUUGUCUUCUUGUGUAAUAAAAUGUUAACUUUCAUUAAUUGAAAUAAUGCAUUAAACAGAUUUAUAUAUUCUUAUACAGUGAAUCUUAAUUAACUCACCUCAGCACACAGUUAUUGGUAUAGGGCAUCUGGCCUGAAUUUUCGGUAGAAAAAGAAGUCUUUAUUGGAGAACAAACCUUGGGUUUAUUGGAUUGUCUUGGUCAAAAUGAAGUAAUUCAGCACGAGAAACAUAAUUGUAAGGACAUUUGCUUCUCUCCCUUUGCAGGACAGAAACGGAUGCAAUACAGUGAUACGUGUAUACAUGUACAGAAAAGCUGUGGGUUUUAUAUAUAUAUAUAUAGUCCAACUUGUUAUUAUAAUUAUUUUGAUUAUUAUUAUUUUAACAUGUUGUUUUCUUAAAUUUUUCUCCGGUAUCAAUAGAUAAGGCUUCAGCCACUUCAAGCAUAGUACGGUACAUAUAGGUGUUGCUUAUAAGAAAUAAACCUUUGUUAUUUAGGUAAUGUCUGUUACUGCUAAUGUUAAAAUGAACUAAUAAUUCGACUUUCAAACACAAAUUGUUUACUAUUGCAAUAUAAUUGAUAAAAUACGUCUAAUAGAUCUGGUGUAAAGAAAUAAAAAACAAUAUUACACAAUUGAGUAUUUGUUGAAUUAUCAUCCAAUUUAGAGGUGCGUCUUGAGCCACCAUGGACCUCUUGUUAGCAUUAAAAAAACGUUGGCACAUACGAAUGGUACGCACGUUUUUUAUGUAUCAAAUAUGAUGAUACUUUGAUAAUUUAGUUAUAUAUAUUUUAAUUUUGUGUCUGAACAGUACAAUUUUGUUAGUAUUGUUACACUCUAAAGUCAGCUCCGUGUCUAUCUACUCAUAAAUUGUACGUCAUUUGUAUUUUUGUUAUCUGUGUUCAUGACAGAUUGUUUAUCGACGAUUAAAUCUAUAUGUAUGUAAAA